UACGGGGGGAGCAAGCGUUGUUCGGAUUUACUGGGCGUAAAGGGCGCGUAGGUGGCGAGAUAAGGCUGUGGUGAAAGUUCGGGGCUCAACCCUGAAUCGGCCGUGGCAACUGUUUCGCUAGGGCACCGUAGAGGCAGAUGGAAUUCCGGGUGUAGCGGUGGAAUGCGUAGAGAUCCGGAAGAACACCAGUGGCGAAGGCGGUCUGCUGGGCGGUGGGUCCGCAAGGAUCCAAUAGCCGACACUGAGGCGCGACAGCGUGGGGAGCAAACAGG
rnacentral:rRNA from 1 species